AGUCCGACUCCGCCUUUUUUGAUUUUAUUAUACCUUCCAUUCGCUUGACGGCCAAGUGACGCCGAGUAACAACAUUCUAUUGGAAUAGACAACAUACAGUUGACAACAUGUACGUGAAAGCACUUCUACUACUUGUCUUCGUCGUGGCCGUUUCUUCGAUGAGUUUACAAACCGCCGAUGAAGGUCAACAAUUUAAAAGAACUCAAACGGAAGACGACGAAUCAAGAGCUACCUGGUUGGACACAAGGGAAGAUCUCUUAUCAAAUUUCAAGAACUUCGUCUAUUCCUCUGUUGUCGAAUUGGUUAACGAGAAUAAAUUAGAUGGCUCUGUUCUAAGCGCACCAUCAAAAGACAAAAGAGGACGCUGGCAAGGAUUCUGUUUCAGGAGAAAUAAGCAAGGAAAAUUCUUACCAUACAUUUGCUGGAAAGGAGGUAAAUAAACAGCACCGUUGAUCGGAAGAGGACGAAAUGAGGCAGACCAUUCGAAUAAACAUUAGAGCUUUAUUAUAUUUCCUUAUUCGUUCCAUCCUAAAAGUCAUCUGGCUGCAGAGUCUACCUACUUUUUUCCGUAUGUUCAUCCCAACACCUUCCACUAUUACUACUACUACUAGUACUACUACUUUUCUUCUGUCUCUUAAUUAUUCGACCUUUGUUUUGUUUCUUUCACUUUAAAGUAGAACUUAUUCGUUGCACAGUCACAUUCGAAUACAAUUGGCGCCAUCUGGCAGCCCUUCAAAAAAAUUGCCUUUAGUUUAUAUCCUUAUAAAGUUAGGAGAUACAAUUUUCUUACGCAGGAACAAUAUAAGCCUAAUUAUACUAAAAUUUAAUAGGGAAUAGAGGACAAUGUGUUUAUGAUUUUAUUCCAUAGGCGUAUUACAAGUUGGGAGGUGCGAAGGAGACGGAGUGGAGGAAAAAAGAUUUCCCACCUGUCAUCAAUCCCUCAUCAACCCUAUUAGCUCGCGUAAGGUAGCAAAAUACAAGGGAAUUUUGUAAUAAGUGGAACGGAAUUA
rnacentral:misc_RNA from 1 species